GCGGGCGUGGUGGAAUUGGCAGACACACGAGAUUUAGGUUCUCGCGCCGCAAGGCAUGGGGGUUCAAGUCCCUCCGCCCGCACCA
rnacentral:tRNA from 1 species